GGGAAAUUGAUUGUGCAAGCUCUCCCUCAAACAUCUGCAGAGUAAAUACGCCGCAGUCGGUCCGAAAACCCACCGGCAACAACCUGCAUGUUUCAUGGUAGCUACAUUGGCGGUAAUCAGGAUCCUUUUCAUCCAUGGCUGCACGUAUUAAACAUGGAAAUAUAAAGGGGGUUAGUAAAUCUGUGGGUAAUUGGAGCCUUUGACACUUGAAGUUCCCUUUAAACUGCACAUUUAAGGUUUCACACGCCAAAGGGAAAAAAAAGAAGGAUAAAAUCACACGGGGGCUUUCUGCGGUGAAUGCAGCAGUGGGUGGCUCGUUCGCCCCCUGCCUGCCCUUCCUGCCUUCAUUGUGGAGUCGAGGGGCGAUAUUGAACUUCAAGCUUGGAGUUGAGCCGGCUAUGUGGCCGCAACCCCAACACCCCCUGAUCACAGAGAGAGAGAAAGGACAUAAUGUGACCGCCGCUGACAACCCUCUGGACAGGAAGAAGCAGAGCGGAGACGGCGAGAGAAAGUAUAAGAGAGAGACUGUGUGGAGAUAAACGGGUGGGGGUGCAUGAUGUGUGUGUGUGUGGAUGUGGAUGGGUGUGUUCUCUCCUCUUUGUUUUUCCUGUUUUCAGUCAGGUUUUUGUGCCGUUUCUUUUUUUUUCCUCUCCUCCUAGUCUGGAAUGAGACAGUCUUCAAGCAUCUGGAGCAACUGGAUAGAGGACUGAGGAGCUCCAGGACCGCUAGCAGCUCUCUGACGCCUCCCUGUGUAGCUUGUGAGGAACUAUUUUCAUCCGAUGUAUAAACCGCAACAGACACUUUUUGGGGGGGAAAUUAAACAUUCAAACUGCUGAACAUCCCGUGUCUUGUUGUCAGUCACUCAAUGUACAGUAAAUAAUAAUGGAUGGAUGGGAUCAAAUAUUAAAUACUGCAGGAGAGCUAUCAUACUUUACCUUUUAAUGUGAACAUCCACCAUUGUAUUUGUAAUUCGUGUAUUAUUUCAAAGUGUUUGAUAUUCAAUCAUAUUGUUCAUUUUUAUUUAAUUUAGUGUUCUUGACAUAUGUCAAUGAUUUGUGCAUGCUUUUCGUAAAUUCAUGCGCGGUUCAAACCA
ensembl:lncRNA